AGCACAGGAUACGGGAGGGCAGCAGGGCGGAGGGGCGUCGCGGGAGGCUCCGUCAGGACGCCUCCGACGAUCGUCAGGAGGCACGUCGCGCCGCGGGAGGAUCCACGACGCCGCCACCGACAAGCGCGACGAGGCGCUUCGCGUCGUGGGAGGUUCCGUCACGCCGCCGCCGAGCACGAGGAGACGUGUCGCGUCUCAUGAGGCUCUGGCACGCCACCGGCGACGAGCACGAGGAGGCGUGCCGCGUCUCGGGAGGUUCCGCCACGCCGGCGACGACCAGAAGGAGGCGCGCCGCGUCUUGGGAGGCCCCGCUGCCGGCGACGAGCACGAGGAGGCGCGCCGCGUCUCGAGAAGCUCCGCCAUGCCGCCGGCAACGAUGACGCGAGUCGCUGGCGGCUCCUCCACCAAACGUCUCUGACGAGCGCAACGAGGCGCGUUGCGGGAACCCUCCACCAGGACGCCUCCGACGAGGACGACAAGGCGCGUCGUGGGAAGCUUCCCUCGCUGGACACAGCCUGCACCACCACACCGCACCACGCCUCCGCCUCUCCCGUUUCCCCGUUGCCAUGGUGCUCGGCCGCGCCCGUACUCGCUCGCCCGAAAAUCCUAGCCCCGCCUUGGGCUUGGUCGCCGGCGCUGCUCAGACGCUGCCGCACCUCCGGCUGAUCCUCCUCGUGGAACAGGUAUUCCUUUACUUUGCCUGGACCUCAUGGAGCCCGAGCUCCUUCUCCACUACAUCGACGCCGGCAUCCACCUCCUGGAACCUCGCUUCGGCCAUGUCGUCCCUUCCCGUCGGUGGGUGGUUGGUGGUUCACCGUCGGGGAAGCUGACGAGGUAUCCUCCACUCUGGCUUCCGGCUCAGUCGUCGCGGCAGCAGGCGCCGAUCUGGCCACCCCACGACAUCGGAAGGGAGUUGGGGUCGCGGAGCCAUCACCGGCAUGGACAGGCGGGACAGUGAGCAGGGAGCGGCGAGGAGGUGACGCCCAUGUCAACCACAGGUGCGGAGGCCACCAGCGGCAGCGAGCAGCGUCGGUCCACAGUUACGUGCCCUCCUGCGUCUGGGUGGCCUCUCUCUGUUCUUCCUCUCCCGCCUCACUUGCCCUCUUUCUCUGACAGUGAGCAGAGGGGCAGCGCACUAUUGCAUCUAGACCUCCGUCUGCACGUUUGUUUGUCCAUCGGGUGAGGAACUUCUAAAACAUGAAAAAUGAAAUUGCAAGGUGUACUAUUCUGUGAUGUUCCAGGAUUCAAAUCGUGGAAAAGGAGCCUGCCACUAAAUUGUUCUGUCCAUGAGUAUGCCAUCCUCAAGAUGUCUAUGCAGGCAAGAACUUCAUGCUUUCUUGCUCUGGUUGGUGGGUCAGAUGAGCUUGCAAUAUCUCUGAGUUGUGCACAAGAAGACCUUUUGUGUAGGUUUAUUCUUGAGGGACAUGCCCGAUGAGGAUAUUUCGAGGUGAUGAAGUAUUCAGCAUUCGACUCAUCCUUUCUUUCUUUGACAUAUGGGUGCACAAUAUUGAUCUCCUUUUCUGUUUUACUCACCCGAGCGGCAACUCGAAGCUGCAGUUGCUGAAAAUAGCGGUGCUAGCAUGAGGAUCACAUGUUCGUCUGUCUCUUAUUUCUAUCUCUUUUGGUAUAUCUUUCUCAGUCCUGAUACCUUUUGAUGAUACAGUUUUUCAUGUUUGAGUUGAUCAGUCAGUAAGAUCAAGCAACAUAAUGCUACAACUACUUCUUACAGUUCCAGUUAGACAAGAUAAAUAUGAAUAUCAAAAGGGUUGUUGGAUAUCGGCAAUGGUGCAAUAAAUUUUGGAAUGCCAUUCGAUUUGCAAUGGGCAGGCUUGGUGAUCAUUACAGUCCAGUAGCAAUUAUCAUUGUGUCUCCAGUGCCUCCAAUCUGCAAAUAGAUACUCUCAGUAUUUAAUAAGGCUAUUGCAAUUAUUUGAACUGGUUUAAGGCGUGAUCAGAAGUCCUCCAGCUUAUGGAUUCCCGAAACUCCGGCAUGGAGCAGUGCCAAAAAGUCUAGCUUCACGGAGCCAGAUUCGAGAAGCCUGCCCAAUUUGAUGUACAAAUAUACAUUUAUAGGUGGAUCUGAUUAAUGGGGCAUUGGCACCAUUGGCAUCUUGAUGGCAGAGCAAUGAUGCGCAUCCACUGGUUAUAGAGAGAUAUGAGGUCAAUUAUAUCAGUGCAAAUAUCAAGAAGGUGCAUCAAAAGUAUGGAACUGUGUGCGCUGCCGACUUCACUCACCACUAUAAAGCUUUGGCCCUAAUAAGACCAGUUCAUAUUAACACUAUGUGUACCUGUCUCACCUAUCUAUCCUGUUUCGUAAGAUCAGGUUUUUGAACACAUGUAUCUAUUUGGUAGAUCACCGGUGGUUCUUUCCAUAUAGCUUCAGCACUGGUGCGGCGUGCCGCCGCGCCCUUCUUUUGCUAGUGACAUCAAGGACUCAACAUACUCGGGUGCUCGCAGAAUAAGCUUCGACUAUUGACAUCGACUGAGCCCUGUUCAUCGACUGCUACUUUCAUACAUGGAUCAAGCCAUCGAGUUAAUCAGCGAGGAACAUCCGAUACAAAAAUAUCAGGUGCUAUAUUUACAAUUAAUUAGUACCUGCAAAAUUUAUUUAGCCAAA